GCCUGUGUGCUGGAAAUCUGCUCCGAUUUGCUAUUAAUGAUGGAGGUUUGAGUUUUGUAGACGGUAAGCUUGAGAGAGCUGAUUUACAUUAUCUGGGCAAGUCAAAUAGAGCACGUGCUUUUGCAGAUAGUUACUCCAAGAUUGUAUUUCAGUAUGCAGUUCGGCAUUCGCCUUUGAAAAUUGAUGAUAUGCUGGCAUCUAUUAGCUCACAAGGUGAUGGGGAAAA